UCCGAACGGAAUGGCUUCCGGCAUUCAGUGGGCGCACGGGUGAGUAACACGUGGGAACCUACCCUGGGAUGGGGAAUAACCACUGGGAAACGGUGGCUAAUACCGCAUACGCCCUUAGGGGGAAAGGCUUCGGCCGUCCGAGGAGGGGCCCGCGCCCGAUUAGCUUGUUGGUGGGGUAAUGGCCUACCAAGGCGACGAUCGGUAGCUGGUCUGAGAGGAUGAUCAGCCACACUGGGACUGAGACACGGCCCAGACUCCUACGGGAGGCAGCAGUGGGGAAUAUUGGACAAUGGGGGAAACCCUGAUCCAGCAAUGCCGCGUGAGUGAUGAAGGCCUUAAGGUUGUAAAGCUCUUUCGCCUGCGACGAUGAUGACGGUAGCAGGAGAAGAAGCCCCGGCUAAUUCCGUGCCAGCAGCCGCGGUAAUACGGAAGGGGCUAGCGUUGUUCGGAAUUACUGGGCGUAAAGCGCGCGUAGGCGGCUUUUCAAGUUAGGUGUGAAAGCCCUGGGCUCAACCUAGGAAUUGCACUUAAGACUGGAAGGCUAGGGUCCGAGAGAGGGUGGUGGAAUUCCCAGUGUUGAGGUGAAAUUCGUACAUAUUGGGAGGAACACCGGUGGCGAAAGCG
rnacentral:rRNA from 1 species